rnacentral:rRNA from 1 species
AUUAAAGCGGUACGCGAGCUGGGUUUAGAACGUCGUGAGACAGUUCGGUCCCUAUCCGUUGCGGGCGCAGGAGACUUGAGGGGAGUUGUCCCUAGUACGAGAGGACCGGGAUGAACAGACCUCUGGUGUGCCAGUUGUCAUGCCAAUGGCACUGCUGGUUAGCUACGUCUGGAUUGGAUAAGCGCUGAAAGCAUCUAAGCGCGAAGCCAACCCCAAGAUUAGGUCUCCCAUCUGGUUAACAGAGUAAGACUCCUUGCAGACUACAAGGUGGAUAGGCCGGAGGUGUAAGCGUGGCGACACGUUCAGCCGACCGGUACUAAUCAGUCGAGGGCUUGGUUCG